UACGAAGGGGCUAGCGUUGCUCGGAAUCACUGGGCGUAAAGGGUGCGUAGGCGGGUCUUUAAGUCAGAGGUGAAAGCCCGGGGCUCAACCCCGGAAUUGCCUUUGAGACUGCAUCGCUAGAAUUGUGGAGAGGUAAGUGGAAUUCCGAGUGUAGAGGUGAAAUUCGUAGAUAUUCGGAAGAACACCAGUGGCGAAGGCGACUUACUGGACACAUAUUGACGCUGAGGUGCGAAAGCGUGGGGAGCAAACAGG
rnacentral:rRNA from 1 species